rnacentral:rRNA from 1 species
ACCACUUGGAUAACCGUGGUAAUUCUAGAGCUAAUACAUGCUAAAAAUCCCGACUGUUUGGAAGGGAUGUAUUUAUUAGAUAAAAAAUCAAUGCUCUUUGAGCUCUUUGAUGAUUCAUAAUAACUUUUCGAAUCGCAUGGCCUUGUGCUGGCGAUGGUUCAUUCAAAUUUCUGCCCUAUCAACUUUCGAUGGUAGGAUAGUGGCCUACCAUGGUUUCAACGGGUAACGGGGAAUAAGGGUUCGAUUCCGGAGAGGGAGCCUGAGAAACGGCUACUACAUCCAAGGAAGGCAGCUGGCGCGCAAAUUACCCAAUCCCGACACGGGAAGGUAGUGACAAUACAUAACGAUACAGGCCCUUUCGGGUCUUGUAAUUGGAAUGAGUACAAUGUAAAUACCUUAACGAGGAACAAUUGGAGGGCAAGUCUGGUGCCAGCAGCCGCGGUAAUUCCAGCUCCAAUAGCGUAUAUUAAAGUUGUUGCAUGUUAAAAAGCUCGUAGUUGAACUUUGGGCUUGGUUGGCCGGUCCGCCUUUUUGGCGAGUACUGGACCCAACCGAGCCUUUCCUUCUGGCUAACCAUUCGCCCUUGUGGUGUUUGGCGGAACCAGGACUUUUACUUUGAAAAAAUUAGAGUGUUCAAAGCAGGCCUUUGCUCGAAUAUAUUAGCAUGGAAUAAUAGAAUAGGACGUUAUGGUUCUAUUUUGUUGGUUUCUAGGACCAUCGUAAUGAUUAAUAGGGACGGUCGGGGGCAUCAGUAUUCAGUUGUCAGAGGUGAAAUUCUUAGAUUUACUGAAGACUAACUACUGCGAAAGCAUUUGCCAAGGACGUUUUCAUUAAUCAAGAACGAAAGUUAGGGGGAUCGAAGAUGAUCAGAUACCGUCGUAGUCUUAACCAUAAACUAUGCCGACUAGGGAUCGGGUGUUGUUCUUUUUUUGACGCACUCGCACCCUUACGAGAAAUCAAAGUCUUUGGGUUCUGGGGGGAGUAUGGUCGCAGGCUGAAACUUAAAGGAUUGACGGAAGGGCACCACCAGGGAGGGGAGCCUGCGGCUUAAUUUGACUCAACACGGGGAAACUCACCAGGUCCAGACACAAUAAGGAUUGACAGAUUGAGAGCUCUUUCUUGAUUUUGUGGGUGGUGGUGCAUGGCCGUUCUUAGUUGGUGGAGUGAUUUGUCUGCUUAAUUGCGAUAACGAACGAGACCUUAACCUACUAAAUAGUGCUGCUAGCUUUUGCUGGUAUAGUCACUUCUUAGAGGGACUAUCGAUUUCAAGUCGAUGGAAGUUUGAGGCAAUAACAGGUCUGUGAUGCCCUUAGACGUUCUGGGCCGCACGCGCGCUACACUGACGGAGCCAGCGAGUAUUAACCUUGGCCGAGAGGUCUGGGAAAUCUUGUGAACUCCGUCGUGCUGGGGAUAGAGCAUUGUAAUUAUUGCUCUUCACCGAGGAAUUCCUAGUAAGGGCAAGUCAACAAA